GCUGCUCGGUCCAAACUCAUGAUGGAGUCCCUUCUGCCAUGGAGUUGACCACAAUGCCCCCCAACACUGGGUGCUGGGCGCCGUGCAGAUGUGCCCCAAGGACGCCUCCUGCAGCACCAGCAUCUACUGCGGAAGACCUCAAUAAUGCAUAAGAACAUCUGGAAGUGCGGUAAUUUCAGCUAUCAGAGAUAAGAAUUGACACAAAACAGAAAGCCGUGGCAGCUGGAUUGCUCUGAUCAAUAACAUUAUAGCGUGGAAGCAGCUCGCGGUUCGUCUGCAGGUUCAAAUCCAGCUCUGCCCAAAGAGAGAGCUAUGCUUCCACAUCAAUCCAGAGAAUACAGAGGAGAGCAGGAGCCCUUCUGCAAGGACAAAUUAAACCUGGACUGUGUGUGGAUGGAAAAUAGAAAUGCUAAGAGGCAAGGUCAGAACAAACCUUUCUCCCUGACUUCAGCUCUUCCACCAGGGCCAUAAGCAGCAGUCCUCGUUCCAUGCCAUCUCUGAUGCUGCUUGGGAGCCUCUGCUUCACAGACCCAGUGCUGUUCAUGAAGGAGGGAAUGCCACCACCCAGCAUCCCUCAGCAGUGAUUUACCUCAGUUUUGUGUCAUGAUGCAGUCUGUCUCAGCUCCGAUUCCUGCUCCUUUGGUUCUGCCACACCCUACCUACC